UACAGAGGGUCUCGAGCGUUGUUCGGAUUCAUUGGGCGUAAAGGGUGCGUAGGCUGCGAAUGUGAAGUACUGAUGUGAAAUCCCUGGGCUCAACCCGGGAACUGCAUUGGAUACUGCGUUGCUAGAGUACUGGAGAGGAGACUGGAAUUUAACGGUGUAGCAGUGAAAAUGCGUAGAGAUCGUAAGGAAGACCAGUGGCGAAGGCGAGUCUCUGGACAGUUGACUGACGCUGAGGCACGAAGGCCAGGGGAGCAAACGGG
rnacentral:rRNA from 1 species